rnacentral:tRNA from 1 species
GGCGCAUUCGUCUAGGGGCCUAGGACGCCGCCCUCUCACGGCGGUAACACCGGUUCGAAUCCGGUAUGCGCUACCA